ACUCAACGAUAAUUCUUUAAAAAGGGUGAGUUUAGGUUGUAAAAGCGCGCCCGUUUACGGGAUACUUGAUCAAUCUGUUAGCCCUAAACUUGUUUUUAAGGAGUUU
rnacentral:sRNA from 2 species